AAUAUGCAAGUGUUAAACACGGUUACGGGAUCGAGAAUACGAACCAAAACUACUAUAGGUAGGGUCUGUGCCAAAAGUUUACAAUCAACUGUACUUGAUAUUUUAUAGUUAACUUCCCUUCCCCCCAAAAAACGGUACAAGUACUCGAUAUACUAUUAAGGCAAUGUAGGGUAGAUCGGGUAAACUGAGGAAUAAAAAGUAAUAAUGCACUCAAAAAGGUCACUGAUAAUAUCGUUUUUGUUUAUAAUU